AAGACUUCCCUCUGGCUCCAGCCAUAACUGGAUGACUGUGUAAUCUCUGAAGAAGGAUGGGGGUCUAACUAUCUGAGCGCACUUCUAAUGCUGGGGUGAAGAUAAUUUCAUUUCCGGGCUCUUUUAUCACCAAAGAGGAUGCCUGCCUUGGAUAGUGAGGUUGUUGAAGGUUUUAUUGUUAUUGUCGAGGCUUGCAAAGGAACAGCCCAUCUGUACUUGAUUUUUUUCCUCAACUUCCAGCCCUGGAACUCCCAGGAGUCACCCAUCCAAAAGCCUCUCUCUACAGUGCCUAAAAAGAGAGCGGAGGAAAGCAGAGCUCGACUUUUGACCAGGAGAUGGGAGAAUAUUUUUGCAUGAUGCUUUAAUAACACUCUGAGAAGUAUCUUCAGCUUCAGAUGCAGCAGCCUUAUUUUUCCUCCUGGCAGAAAAUAAGGAUGUUGAAAAGAGGUUUGGCAGCUUACUGUCCAGUUACCCUGCAUUGGUCAGUUUCAAUAAUUUCUCCUUGUUUCUCCUAAAGGAAGAGUCCAUUUCAGGACUCUACAUGUUGGAAGAAAUGUCCAUCUGGGUUCAGUUCCAAGUGGGGAAAAAGACACUGGAAACAUGGCGACUGCUUGGAAAGAUGGUUUAAUGGUGGACAGGAUCACAUGGUUUGAGUUCUUAAGCAGAAAAGGAGAGAGAUGCUGAGAGUCCCUGGGUUUUAUACCCUCUCUGGCUUUGAACUUCCUGGGGCACAGGAAGAGUAUCCUGACUGGUUGCUGUCAGAGAUCAUAGCUAGCCUUGCUGGCUGAUGUAAUCUUCCCAGGUGCCAUGUGGGGAGUUUCUGUUGCUAGAUUGGUCCUUUGUGUUGCAGAUGGGAUGCUGAGGCCUUAAUGGCCCAUUGACAAGGGGGGGGGAAUGAGUUUCUGCCUCCCUUUUUAGGGGGAAAUAUUCUGCCUCUUAAAAUAUUUCAUUUUUCUAGGAGAGGUGGGUUUUAACUUCCAACAUACAUGUAACUAUUUUUUCCAUAAUUGUGACUUCAGGAAGGCCAGUAAAUGUUCAGCUCCAUCCAAUCUCACCGACUACCCCAAAUUAAGGGUUUGUGUGCGUGUGUGCAUGCCCACACCUUUAAGUCAGUUUUUGACGCAGCUGCCUGGAUGAGCCCCUGCAGUUUUCUUGGCAAAGUGAUUUGUCAAGUGACUUGUUCAGAAGUGAUUUUCCCUUGCCUGGUUCCUAUGGCUGAGAGAGAGAGAAAAUGAGUGACCCAAGAAUACCCAAAUGGCUUUGUGUCUAAGACGGAACUAGAACUCACUGCUGUCCUGGGUUCUAGCCUGGUGUCUACACCAUUAUACCAAAUACUUCUUACAGUUAUCUUUACUUCAUAUUAUUUUAUAUUAGGAGAUUCUGUGGAAGAAGGGCAGAUAAACCACCUUAGAGAAAUUCUGGAAAGCCCCUUUAAUGAUGCAUGCACUUACACAUAUUCUUCCAGAGACAUGCUGAGUGGUUGGCUACCUCAAGUGGGUAUCCUAAGGUGUUGCCUCAUAACUCCCUUCAUGUGGAGCACCAUCCCUCUGGAGAUCCAGGUGGCUCUGACCUUACCAACUUUAGGCAAAUCACUAACCAGCUGAUUAACCCCUAUCCCCCAGAAGUCAGCUCUGUUAGUUUAUCGGCUUUAAUGUAGUAGUAGUAAUUGUUGUAAGUUGUGAAUAAUUUCCAACCUCUGACAAUUGCUGUCUGAAUUCUUUAAUUUUAUUGUUCGAUUCUAAGUUUUCUACACUGCCCAGAGUCCUUGCUAUGAGACAGAUAGCUAUGCAAAUCAUUUAAAUAAAUGCCUUUAAAUUAGUAAUCUCACACUCUUGCCAUCCUCUAAAUCUGUGGGGAGGGGGAGGUCACCCACACUUUCAUUCAGAGACCAAUUUUUCUACCAGUGCUUUACUUUGGAAAAAGAAAGAAGCACCUUUUCCCUUUCCUGUAGCUAGCAGAGAGGCCUGGAUGUAUAAUUGGCAAAAAUCCUGGUUAGAAUGAGAGCACUGAUUUCAGAAAAGGCCAUAAAUUGUUGGUUAUCUAGAUCAAGAUUAAGGAGCUAAUUGAGGAUGGAAAACAUAGGAAAAAAUAUUGGGUCUUGCAAAGUAGCAGCUCCUUCUCCACCUUUCAAAGCUAAUUUUUCAGGCUGGAAUUCAUAGUGGCAUGAACACAAUACAGGUAAAACAAAACAGGACUAAAUUACAAAGAAGCAGCCCUGAUCAGUUCUUUUAAUACAUACAAUACUUUUGUUUUGCCUUUGAAUCAACCACCACACUAAACGAGCUCUCAUAAACAAUUGUAAAUACUCUAAAUCUCAUCUAAGUCCACAUUUCCCUUGAUGGCUAAGGACGGCUUCCUCCUUGUUGCAAUCAAUAUUGUUUUCUCUCCCUUCCAGACAGUUCCAAAGUCAGACUCUUUCCCUAUUUGGGCAACAUGACACUGGCUGAUGGAUCUUUUCUCCAGUGGCUGGUACAGUGCAUUAAAGCUAAAGGGGGAAAAGGCAUUGCUUGUAAGCAGGAGAAUCCUAUUCAGCAAUGUCUCUGAAAAAUCCUAGAGAGGUUUAGCAAGAGCUUGUAAACACCUUGUAUACACACACACACACCUUUUCUCUUAUCCACAUAGCUUUUCAACACUGGUUCUGAGAUGGCCAGUUUACUGUUUGCUGAGGACACAUCUUCAACAUAUAAAUUUUCUAUUUAUUCUCUAGACCUCUCUGUUCCAAUCAAAUUGAAGUGGAAGGGAACUUUCCUCUCAGAACCAUUUUGCUGCUGAGGCAGCCUUGAGCUGACAUCUCUAGCAAAUGGGGAAGGGAGGGGAGUCUUGAGCUGGGUGAGCCAAACUUGUGUCUAUGACAAUUCGCCACAGCUAACUUGCCACAGCCAACUUGCUGCAGAACAACUCGCCAUGGCCGUCUCGCCACAGGAUAACUUGCUGCAGGACAAGAGUUACCCUAAUAUCAAAGAAAUGGUGGAAUAGAAUCAUUAAAGAAAAGAUGCAAAAGGAGGAACAGAAUAAAACGUGAAUGACAAAAAUUAAAAUAUUUUUUAUUUAUUUUAAAUAAUUAAAUAGAACUAUUACAUUGUCCCGCAGCGAAUUGUCCCUUGGCAAGUUGGCCAUGGUGAGUUGUCCCGCAGCGAGUUGGCUGUAAUGAGUUGGCUGUGACCAGUUGUCCCAUGCCGAGUUGGCCAUGGUGAGUUGGCCGUAGCAAGUUCCAUUCCCGCCAAACUUUGGGUAAAGUAAGCUGAAACUCCAGGAAUUUAUGCUGCUUUGUGAUCUUUAAAAAUUCCUCCACCUAAUGAUUGAUGACAUUUUUUGUAGCAGUCAUUAAAUAAAUCACCAUGGUUGUUAAGCAAACGCCAUGGUUGUUCUGCAAAUCCUUUGCCUGCAAUGCACAUUUUUUGCCAGAAAUAAACGCCAGUUUCCAGCAAAAAACAUUGUAAAUUGUGUUCAUGUGACAAGAAGACACUGAAAAGGAGCAUAAAUGUAAGUUAGUUGCUGAUCGGCACAAAUGCGAUCAUGUGACCAUGGGGGGGGGAAUUCGAGCUGUAAGUAGUCCUGGGGAAGUCCAUCGUAACUUCAAACAGUCACUAAGCAACUGGUCAUAAGCCGAGGACUACCUGUAGCCACAAGGAGACACGAGGGCUCAGAAAGACUGUUAGCUGAUCCCCAUGCAGUUUUUCUGUAGGUGGAAAGCAAGCAAGCACAAUUCUAAGUAGGCACAGAUGGAAUCAGUGCAACUAAAAAAAGCACCAGCUGCUGAAGCGUGGCUGAAAGCUGGAUCCUCAAGGUUUGAAUUCAUUUCCUCUCUCCCCCUCCUCCUGGUUUUUUCCCUCCCUUCUUCCUGUUUGUUCAGUUAUUGUUGUUCAUAUCCUGAAUUGCAUUCUUAGUUUCACCUAGUUUCACCUCAGGCUUUCAACAGAAAACAACCGCACUGAAGAAAAUGACUUAUGGCCAUUUUUCAGAGUUACCGCCUUUGCAGCAUCCCCAUGAUCAUGUGAUCAAAAUUCAGAUGAUUGGCAACAGCUUCAUACUUAUGACCAUUGCUGUGAUCCCCUUUUGCGGCCUUCUGACAAGCAAAGUCAAUGGAGAAGCCAGACUCACUUAACAACCGUGUUACUAACUUAACAACUGCAGUGAUUCACUUAACAACCGAGGCAAGAAAGAUUGUAAAACAGGGCAAAUGUCCCACUUAACAAUAAAAAUCUUGGUCUCAAUUGUGGCUGUAACUUGAGGACUGUCUGUAAAGCCUGAUAGGUUUUGUAAAGACUAUUAGGAGGAUCAAGACUGUGAAUAAAACAUAUGUGUAGAGUGUGUUGAAUAAAGAGGAGGAUCAGUUCAUGGA